rnacentral:rRNA from 1 species
AACGAACGCUGGCGGCAGGCUUAACACAUGCAAGUCGAACGCCCCGCAAGGGGAUUGGCAGACGGGUGAGUACCGCGUGGGAAUCUACCCAUCCCUACGGAAUAACGCAUGGAAACGUGUGCUAAUACCGUAUACGCCCUACGGGGGAAAGAUUUAUCGGGGAUGGAUGAGCCCGCGUUGGAUUAGCUAGUUGGUGGGGUAAAGGCCUACCAAGGCGACGAUCCAUAGCUGGUCUGAGAGGAUGAUCAGCCACAUUGGGACUGAGACACGGCCCAAACUCCUACGGGAGGCAGCAGUGGGGAAUAUUGGACAAUGGGCGCAAGCCUGAUCCAGCCAUGCCGCGUGAGUGAUGAAGGCCUUAGGGUUGUAAAGCUCUUUCACCGGAGAAGAUAAUGACGGUAUCCGGAGAAGAAGCCCCGGCUAACUUCGUG